rnacentral:rRNA from 1 species
GUGUCAGCCGCCGCGGUAAUACGAAGGGUGCAAGCGUUAAUCGGAAUUACUGGGCGUAAAGCGUGCGUAGGUGGUUUGUUAAGUCUGCUGUGAAAGCCCUGGGCUCAACCUGGGAAUGGCGGUGGAUACUGACAAGCUAGAGUGCGGUAGAGGAGGGUGGAAUUCCCGGUGUAGCGGUGAAAUGCGUAGAGAUCGGGAGGAACAUCAGUGGCGAAGGCGGCCCUCUGGACCAGCACUGACGCUGAGGCACGAAAGCGUGGGGAGCAAACAGGAUUAGAUACCCUCGUAGUCC